GUUGGUGCAAAAGUAAUUGCGGUUUUUGCAAUUAAAAGUAAUGUCAGAAACCGCAACUGCUUUUGCACCAAU
rnacentral:miRNA from 1 species